rnacentral:rRNA from 1 species
GCCGGGCGGCGGCUACCAUGCAGUCGAGCGGAAACAAAAGUAGCUUGCUACUCUGGCGUCGAGCGGCGGACGGGUGAGUAAUGCUUGGGAACAUGCCUUGAGGUGGGGGACAACAGUUGGAAACGACUGCUAAUACCGCAUAAUGUCUACGGACCAAGGGGGGCUUCGGCUCUCGCCUUUAGAUUGGCCCAAGUGGGAUUAGCUAGUUGGUGAGGUAAUGGCUCACCAAGGCGACGAUCCCUAUCUGGUUUGAGAGGAUGAUCACCCACACUGGGACUGAGACACGGCCCACACUCCUACGGGAGGCAGCAGUGGGGAAUAUUGCACAAUGGGCGCAAGCCUGAUGCACCCAUGCCGCGUGUGUGAAGAAGGCCUUCGGGUUGUAAAGCACUUUCAGUCAGGAGGAAAGGUUAGUAGUUAAUACCUGCUAUCUGUGACGUUACUGACAGAAGAAGCACCGGCUAACUCCGUGCCAGCAGCCGCGGUAAUACAGAGGGUGCGAGCGUUAAUCGGAAUUACUGGGCGUAAAGCGUACGCAGGCGGUUUGUUAAGCGAGAUGUGAAAGCCCCGGGCUCAACCUGGGAACUGCAUUUCGAACUGGCAAACUAGAGUGUGAUAGAGGGUGGUAGAAUUUCAGGUGUAGCGGUGAAAUGCGUAGAGAUCUGAAGGAAUACCGAUGGCGAACGCAGCCACCUGGGUCAACACUGACGCUCAUGUACGAAAGCGUGGGGAGCAAACAAGAUUAUAUACUGUGGUACUCA